UGCAGGAAGAAACUUCAUGGUC
rnacentral:siRNA from 1 species